GGAGGAGUACCCAAGUGGCUGAAGGGGACGGUUUGCUAAAUCGUUAGUGUGGGGAGACCUGCAGCGGGAGUUCGAAUCUCCCUUCCUCCGCCA
rnacentral:tRNA from 1 species